rnacentral:rRNA from 1 species
GCGCCCCAUAUGGUUGUCUCAAAGAUUAAGCCAUGCAUGUCUAAGUAUAAGCAAUUUAUACAGUGAAACUGCGAAUGGCUCAUUAAAUCAGUUAUCGUUUAUUUGAUAGUUCCUUUACUACAUGGUAUAACUGUGGUAAUUCUAGAGCUAAUACAUGCUUAAAAUCUCGACCCUUUGGAAGAGAUGUAUUUAUUAGAUAAAAAAUCAAUGUCUUCGGACUCUUUGAUGAUUCAUAAUAACUUUUCGAAUCGCAUGGCCUUGUGCUGGCGAUGGUUCAUUCAAAUUUCUGCCCUAUCAACUUUCGAUGGUAGGAUAGUGGCCUACCAUGGUUUCAACGGGUAACGGGGAAUAAGGGUUCGAUUCCGGAGAGGGAGCCUGAGAAACGGCUACCACAUCCAAGGAAGGCAGCAGGCGCGCAAAUUACCCAAUCCUAAUUCAGGGAGGUAGUGACAAUAAAUAACGAUACAGGGCCCAUUCGGGUCUUGUAAUUGGAAUGAGUACAAUGUAAAUACCUUAACGAGGAACAAUUGGAGGGCAAGUCUGGUGCCAGCAGCCGCGGUAAUUCCAGCUCCAAUAGCGUAUAUUAAAGUUGUUGCAGUUAAAAAGCUCGUAGUUGAACUUUGGGCCCGGUUGGCCGGUCCGAUUUUUUCGUGUACUGGAUUUCCAACGGGGCCUUUCCUUCUGGCUAACCUUGAGUCCUUGUGGCUCUUGGCGAACCAGGACUUUUACUUUGAAAAAAUUAGAGUGUUCAAAGCAGGCGUAUUGCUCGAAUAUAUUAGCCAUGCAAUAAUAGAAUAGGACGUUUGGGUUUCUAUUUUUUGUUGGAUUUCUUAAGGAACAACUCGU